rnacentral:rRNA from 1 species
UACGUAGGGUGCAAGCGUUAAUCGGAAUUACUGGGCGUAAAGCGUGCGCAGGCGGUUUUGUAAGCCAGGUGUGAAAUCCCCGGGCUCAACCUGGGAAUGGCAUUUGGGACUGCAAGGCUGGAGUGCGGCAGAGGAGACUGGAAUUCCUGGUGUAGCAGUGAAAUGCGUAGAUAUCAGGAGGAACACCGAUGGCGAAGGCAGGUCUCUGGGCUGACACUGACGCUCAUGCACGAAAGCGUGGGGAGCAAACGAGG